GAUGAACGCUGGCGGCGUGCCUAAUACAUGCAAGUCGAGCGAACAGACGAGGAGCUUGCUCCUCUGACGUUAGCGGCGGACGGGUGAGUAACACGUGGAUAACCUACCUAUAAGACUGGGAUAACUUCGGGAAACCGGAGCUAAUACCGGAUCAUAUAUUGAACCGCAUUGUUCAAUAGUGAAAGACGGUUUUGCUGUCACUUAUAGAUGUAUCCGCGCCGCAUUAGCUAGUUGGUAAGGUAACGGCUUACCAAGGCAACGAUGCGUAGCCGACCUGAGAGGGUGAUCGGCCACACUGGAACUGAGACACGGUCCAGACUCCUACGGGAGGCAGCAGUAGGGAAUCUUCCGCAAUGGGCGAAAGCCUGACGGAGCAACGCCGCGUGAGUGAUGAAGGUCUUCGGAUCGUAAAACUCUGUUAUUAGGGAAGAACAAAUGUGUAAGUAACUAUGCACGUCUUGACGGUACCUAAUCAGAAAGCCACGGCUAACUACGUG
rnacentral:rRNA from 1 species